rnacentral:rRNA from 1 species
UACGGGGGGGGCAAGCGUUGUUCGGAAUUACUGGGCGUAAAGGGCUCGUAGGUGGCCAACUAAGUCAGGGGUGAAAUCCUGGAGCUCAACUCCAGAACUGCCUUUGAUACUGAAGAUCUUGAGUUCGGGAGAGGUGAGUGGAACUGCGAGUGUAGAGGUGAAAUUCGUAGAUAUUCGGAAGAACACCAGUGGCGAAGGCGGCUCACUGGACCGGCAUUGACGCUGAGGUGCGAAAGCGUGGGGAGCAAACAGG